rnacentral:rRNA from 1 species
UGACUAUACAAAGGUAUUGUAAUAAGAUUUUAAUUGAAUGCUAAAAGAAUGGAAAUUUAAAAAGAAACUUUUUUAAAAAUAAAAAUUGAAUUUUUUUUAAUUUGUGCAAAAACAAUUAUUUUUAUUAAAGACAAGAAGACCCUAAGAAUUUGUGAUUUUACAAAAAAAAAUUUUUUUUUGUAAAAUCUUGAUUGGGGCGAUCAAAAAAUAUUAAUAACUUUUUAAAUUUAAAUUGAUCUAUUAUUAAUAAACUAAUGAAUUAAAUACUCUAGGGAUAACAGCGUAAUAAUUUUUGAUAGAUCUUAUUGACAAAAUAGUUUGCGACCUCGAUGUUGGAUUAGGAUUCUUUUUUAAUGAAGAAGUUAAAAAAAGAAGUUUGUUCAACUUUUAAAUUCCUACUUGAUCUGA